rnacentral:ncRNA from 1 species
AGGGGGAUGUGGACAUUUUUGUGAAGGUGCAAUGUGAGUUGGACUGGAAGAAUGUCUAUUACAGAUCCUAAUUGAAGUAGCGAUUAUCCAGGCUUGUAUCCUGGGGGCUGAUGAGGAGUAGGGUUUCUGGACAACUUAAACAGAUCCAGAGUUAGUCGAUCCUAAUCUCAAUAAUGGGAGAAAGGGAGUACAGUUGAUAUUCUGUAACUGACAACAGUUCGCGGCAACGCAUACUAUUUUUCUCCGCCAAUCUUAUACCGUUGGUAGGGAUCUCUUUCCUACAUGACAGUACUAAUACCCAGGGAAACUGGUCAUCAGGCGAACUGCGGCGUUCUGCUGGCAAAACAUAGCUUCGGUUAUGUCAAUGGCUAUUGGAUUGGUCCAUGAAGCGAAAAAUAGUUUACUGUGUCACUCGUACCGAUAACCGCAUCAGGUCUUCUAGGUAAGUAGCCUAUGGCCAUUGAGGCAUGAUAGUUCAGGGAAUUCGGCCAAUUAGAGCUGUAACUUCGGGAUAAAGCUUGGCUCUGAUGAAAAUCAGAACCGAUUGUUACGCGGAGAGCCCAACUGUUUAAUAAAAACGUAGUGUCGCGCUGUGGUAGUAUAGCCAGUGAACGCGACAUGAAUCCUGCUCAGUGCUGUGUCUGUUAAUAUGGUUCAAGCCAACGAAGCACCGGUAAAUAGCUGGGGUAACUAUGACUCUUAUCAAAGUAGCGAAAUACCUCGUCACUUAAUUAGUGACCUGCAUGAACGGAGCUAUGAGGUUCUCACUGUCCCAAACUGUCUCUCAGCGAACCAACUGUAGUGGGAAACGUCACUAGAUAUCCAGCGG